rnacentral:lncRNA from 1 species
AGAACAAAUUACACUGCAGAGGUAUCAGCGGUAAUGUAAAAAGUCUCCCUUAAAUAAACUAAGUUUUAUCUGAGCAAACUUUUUAUGGCUCCACAAGAACCUCAUUGGAGAAGCCACAGGCAAACAAGGUACAGAUGGAUUGGAAAAAAAGGAAUGAAGAAUUAGUCUUUCUCAAGGAAAUUGUGAAACUCCAUCUUAAAGGAACACUUGCAGGAACCUCAAGAGACCACGUGAAAACCCAAAAGAGAAAGAUGCUUGCUGAACGCACAAAGGCCUUGGUUCUUUCUGACAUUCUACUUUGUGAGCCUCUUCAGCUAUUGUUCUCAUUCAGCCAAGAAAACAGGUCUGCUCCAAGAAGGCACAGGAGCUACCAAGUGGAAGCUUCUGGCAUGAAGGUGACAAAAGGACAUACACCUCACAUAACAAGCACAUCUCAAGACUCUGCUCAUCUGUGAUCUGCUCACAUUCCAUUGGUCAGUGCUCACCCCAUGGCCAAGCUCAAUAUACAUCUAUAGAGCUGGAAAACAUAUUCUGUCUUUAGCAGAAGAAGGAAGAGAGGAAACGUUUGCUGAAUAAUAACUGAAACUAAAAUGAUCCGCCCUGUUGCUUCCUUUGCACAUUCUAAAUGGACCCAUUCUUUUGCUAAGACAUGUCAAAAACCUCCCCUAAUCAUAAUGUGAGGCUGAAAUUCCAAGAUCUCAUGACUACAACAUGUCCACAUGUCCCCUCUCCCUCUAGAGACCAAGUAUUACAAAAGGUCCACAGAAAUUUGAAAUGCUACUGAAUAAAUAAUGCCAACCCUUCUACCCUGUGAGAAGGGACCUAUCUUUUGAUUUGGCCCUGGGUUUGUUCCCUGGGAAUCUCUCUCCAUUCACCAUUUUUUAUGACUCUUUGAUCCACACUGGGGAAGG